rnacentral:lncRNA from 1 species
CUGUGCUUCAGUCAAUAAUUGUUAAUAAAAGACUAAUGCAAUUGUCUGAGUAACUGUGUAAUGUGAUCUUCAGAGAAUGAUUAGGCCUUUGUUGUUUUUUAGAUGAAGCAUCAGAAAGCUUCGAUUCCUUUCAUAGGCCACUGAAGUUUAUCUCAUGGAACUUGCAUAUUUUGUGAGCAACAUUUUGAUCUUUCUGAGUCUUGUAUUUUCAGGCUUGGAAAUAAUGUCAGUGACUGUUAAUAUUUUUGUUUAUUCUUGAAGUUAAUAAAUAUUCCUAGAGUGUUUAAAAUGCACUCUGUGGCAGGCAGGAAUGUGUGUAAAUAGCAAAGGUUUACAGAUUCAAUGGUCAGAAUUCCUGAAUGUGAGAAUAAAUUGGUAAACAAUGUCCUAAUAAAAUGAAUGCCACCUUUGAAUAUCUUCAACGCAUAACACAGAGGAUGUAAAACUGUAUUUUUCAUUUGCAGUUUCCUUUUCAGUUACAUGCAGGACUUCUUGGAAAUGACUGCAGAAGAUAUGUACGGGUGAAUGCCUCUUCCAAACAUUUCCUCCUGAAGUGCCAACCAGGAGGAACAUCAGAACAAUGUGUGUCCUGAUGCAGUCUUUCUGCUGCACCUCACUUAGUGUGGGGGUUGUAGAGCCGAUGCCAUGUCAGUUCUACCCCCACUGAUAUUUCUGUUUGAAGAAUUUGGAUAUUAAUGUACUGUGAAUGUAGUUCAAUACAUUUUCCUACAUUUCUUGUUUGCUGUAGGUUAAAGGUAUGUCCAGGUAUGGCCUUUUGAGAGUUACGACUUCUCUAUAUAUUCAUGUCAAUUCAUAUUAAAAAUUCAUUGGGCUAUUUCUUUCUUUUCUCCCAAUGAAUGACAACCUAAGAAGAAGCAAUCUGAAGAGAAGACACCCAGGAAGAAGAAGAGUAUGCUGUUUGAAUGAUAGACUUUUCUAUCUCAGCAUUAUAGAGAUGUUACUGCUAAAAUGAAGUCUGGCAUUGUUUUCUCAUGGCUGACACUUCGUACAGAGCCUCAAAUUUAUCAGUGGUUUUAAAGACAAUGCAAAUAGAAACAUCCUCCAUAGAAAAGCUGAGAAAUACAAGUAUGUUCCUAAGUUUUUACUUUUAUUAACUAGAAAGUUAAAUUAAGGAUAUUGUAUCUGACCAUAUCACAUGGUGACCAGACAAUUCUGAUUGCUGACAUUCUCUUUCUGCCUCAGACUACUUUUUCUUAUUUACCUGUAUCUGCUGUUUGAUCAGUCCUAUACAGGUAAGAUGCGCUGAUGGUAGGACAUGGGCAAGGCCUUGGAAUUCCCAGCAGAAGUCACCUUGAAGACCGGGAUUGUCAGUCCAAUGCAGAGAAAUAUGGAAUAAAGCACAUCUGACAUACUUGACA